CAUGAGGUUUGGAAUGGCACUGAAGAGGACCAAACAUUUUAAGGACAAUGUGUCUUUCAUUUCCUAGUUUUGCUCUGUUUAAAUUUCCAAAAAUCUACUACUUACUAUACCUUACUCUAUCUGACUAACGAGGCAAAGCUUGAAGGUAAGCUACUCAAUAGAGAAAGCAGAAACAUUCUUGUCUAACAGAUGUUGCAAUGAUAAUCUCCUUCUACUCUUUCAACAUGCUGAGGUUUUAAAGUAUAUUUUUAGACAAGAUGGUCAUUUUGUUUGAAGUAGAUUAAGUUCUUUUAUGUUCUUUUCAUAUGGCAGAAUCAUGAACUGGGGAGCUUCCAGUACAGAGCAGUAGCCAAGCAGCUAAAGUAGUUUUAUUUUUGAUCACUCCAAGUGGAACCAUAAGAGCCAAGGAUUAAAAUAUGUCACAUAGGAAAUAAAUUGUUGUUAACUUGAGUUGGAGGUGCUAUGUAAUAUUUGAGCUGCACAGCCACUUUCAAGAUGGACAAGACCUCAGAGAAUUCCCAGAGUAGGAAUAUUAUUACAAAAAAAAAAAACAAAAA